CCUACGUGGGGCAGCAGUGGGGAAUAUUGCGCAAUGGGCGAAAGCCUGACGCAGCGACGCCGCGUGAGGGAUGAAGGUCUUCGGAUCGUAAACCUCUGUCAGCAGGGAAGAACGGUCACUGUGCUAAUCAGCAGUGAAUUGACGGUACCUGCAAAGGAAGCACCGGCUAACUCCGUGCCAGCAGCCGCGGUAAUACGGAGGGUGCGAGCGUUAAUCGGAAUUACUGGGCGUAAAGCGCUCGUAGGCGGUAUGUCAAGUCAAGGGUGAAAUCCCCGCGCUCAACGUGGGAACUGCCUUUGAAACUGGCAAACUGGAGUGUGUGAGAGGAUAGUGGAAUUCCAGGUGUAGGAGUGAAAUCCGUAGAUAUCUGGAGGAACAUCAGUGGCGAAGGCGACUAUCUGGCACAUAACUGACGCUGAGGAGCGAAAGCGUGGGUAGCAAACAGGAUUAGAGACCCUGGUAGUC
rnacentral:rRNA from 1 species